UCCCCCUUAGCUCAGUGGUAGAGCGCAUCACUAGUAAGUAUCAACCUUCCCGUGUUUGCUUAUGAUGAGGUCAGUCGUUCAAGUCGGCUAGGGGGAA